AAUGAAAACACAAGAUCAUGACAGCUGCAGUAUGACAACUCUACUAUUAUGAUCUUCAGGGACAUGUCCACAACUCUCUACCGGAGAAGAAAAGCCUUCACGACGCUGAAGAAGAAGCUGCACGAGAAAGACAUCUCCUUCAGGCUGCUCCAUCCAACCAACCUGGUCCUGGACCUCCCGGAAGGCAGACGCACCUUCACCUCUCCGGUGGCGGCAAAGCACUCCCUGACGAAGAAUCAUCCAGACGUGCUGAUCUGAACUAAAGAGGGAGUAAGGAACUGAGAGCCCCUGGUGGAGAGACUGGUGACUGCGGGUGGCGGUAUCUCCCUCCUUGUGUGUGUCCUGCACCCUUGGUUUGAGUGUGUGUGUGUUUUUCACAUGUGAUCAGGGUGACUCUUUCCUGGGAUCCCUCGUCCCUCCUUGACCCAGCUCUCCAUUGGAAAGCCUCAGCUCUGAUCAGGCUUCCCCAUUUUCUCUUUCAUAUCAGUGCAUUAACUGUUUGUUGUUGUGCAAUUUUAUAUAUAUUUUGUAAUAAAAGACAUGACUCUGUUUUAAA